rnacentral:rRNA from 1 species
GAUGAACGCUGGCGGCGUGCUUAACACAUGCAAGUCGAACGAUGAAGCCCAGCUUGCUGGGUGGAUUAGUGGCGAACGGGUGAGUAACACGUGAGUAACCUGCCCUUGACUCUGGGAUAAGCCUGGGAAACUGGGUCUAAUACUGGAUAUGACUUCUCAUCGCAUGGUGGGGGGUGGAAAGAUUUAUUGGUCUUGGAUGGACCCGCGGCCUAUCAGCUUGUUGGUGAGGUAAUGGCUCACCAAGGCGACGACGGGUAGCCGGCCUGAGAGGGUGACCGGCCACACUGGGACUGAGACACGGCCCAGACUCCUACGGGAGGCAGCAGUGGGGAAUAUUGCACAAUGGGCGCAAGCCUGAUGCAGCGACGCCGCGUGAGGGAUGACGGCCUUCGGGUUGUAAACCUCUUUCAGUAGGGAAGAAGCGAGAGUGACGGUACCUGUAGAAGAAGCGCCGGCUAACCACGUG